rnacentral:piRNA from 1 species
UGUAAUGUUGGUGGAACAGGAGUAUUA